rnacentral:rRNA from 1 species
GAUGAACGCUGACAGAAUGCUUAACACAUGCAAGUCAACUGUGGCGGACGGGCGAGUAACGCGGAAAGAACUUGCCUCACGGAUAGGGACAACAUCUGGAAACGAAUGCUAAUACCUGAUACUGUGAGAGGGCUUUGCGUCCCAUGAGCUAGUUGGAGAGGUACUGGCUCACCAAGGCGAGGAUGGGUAGCCGGCCUGUGAGGGUGAUCGGCCACAAGGGGACUGAGACACGGCCCUUACUCCUACGGGAGGCAGCGGUGAGGAAUAUUGGAGAAUGGACCAAAGUUGGAUCCAGCAAUUCUGUGUGCAAGAUGAAGUUUUCGGAAUGUAAAGUGCUUUAAGUUGGGAAGCGGUACCAACAGAAGAAGUGACGGCUAAAUACGUGCCAGCAGCCGCGGUAAUUC